UGGGGAAUAUUGCACAACGGGCGCAAGCCUGAUGCAGCCAUGCCGCGUGUGUGAAGAAGGCCUUCGGGUUGUAAAGCACUUUCAGCGGGGAGGAAGGUGGUAAGGUUAAUAACCUUAUCAAUUGACGUUACCGACAGAAGAAGCACCGGCUAACUCCGUGCCAGCAGCCGCGGUAAUACGGAGGGUGCAAGCGUUAAUCGGAAUUACUGGGCGUAAAGCGCACGCAGGCGGUUGAUUGAGUCAGAUGUGAAAUCCCCGGGCUUAACCCGGGAAUUGCAUCUGAUACUGGUCAGCUAGAGUCUUGUAGAGGGGGGUAGAAUUCCAUGUGUAGCGGUGAAAUGCGUAGAGAUGUGGAGGAAUACCGGUGGCGAAGGCGGCCCCCUGGACAAAGACUGACGCUCAGGUGCGAAAGCGUGGGGAGCAAACAGG
rnacentral:rRNA from 1 species